rnacentral:rRNA from 1 species
CAGUCGCCGCGGUAAUACGAAGGGUGCAAGCGUUAAUCGGAAUUACUGGGCGUAAAGCGUGCGUAGGCGGUUUGUUAAGUCUGCUGUGAAAUCCCCGGGCUCAACCUGGGAAUGGCAGUGGAUACGGGCAAGCUAGAGUGUGUCAGAGGAUGGUGGAAUUCCCGGUGUAGCGGUGAAAUGCGUAGAGAUCUGGAGGAAUACCGGUGGCGAAGGCGGCCCCCUGGACAAAGACUGACGCUCAGGUGCGAAAGCGUGGGGAGCAAACAGGAUUAGAUACCCCAGUAGUCCCUGUCUCUUAUAC